CGCACGCUUUAGUCCCCUGCUUCGGUCCCCUGUUUUAGCUUCACCUUGAGCAACAAAACAACAACUGAAAGAACAGAGGAGUCCUCUGUUUUGGUGUUGCCAAAGCUAGAGCAGCAACCAUCCAUGAUCCGAACUGCCCUUCAUGUUUCGCUUUUCACUACUUUGGCCCUUGUUUGUGAUUAGUCACCCUCACCAGCAAGCCCACAACUCACCAAGACUGGCGUCACUCUAGCUUCCUUGUGUUGGAAGCUCUACAGCUCUGUCCACUGGUGUUGUCACAACACCUCAGCUCAUCCCUCCUCUGUUGUAGCUCAUCCCCACCAUCGAAAAACCCAUACCUCUCAAUUGUGUUGCUGUUCAGCUAUCGGAGCACAAGCGGGUUUGAACCAACCCAUCGGCAAGCAAGCCAACGCCGCCGCGUCGCAGCCACGCUCUUGCAGUUGCAACUCUUUCACUACUCGACUUCCACCGGUCGGGAGCCAGCCCUCUCAGCCAUGAGCCGAGGGCUUCCUAACUCUAUUCCAAGCUGACCGGAGCCACUCCGACGUCCUUGGAGAUUGCGGUGUAGCUGUUGUUGCUUAGUUAGUAACGGUAGCUCCGGUUUUCCUUAGUAAGGGAUGGGCAUGUGCUCGAGGUUCGGGUCGUGACAUGACAACAUGGGCUUUGCAUCGCCAGAGAAGCUAGUUUUCGGAGUUCAGUGAAGGCAACGAGUCCUUUGCCGGUGAGAGGAAGCUCUUCAUCUUCACUUCCGCCCAAGUUGCCACUACAGAGUACGGUGUCUGAGCCUGCCCCAUACGAGACCCCCGGGUUUCAUUAAUUCGUUCUCCCAAGGGUCUGGCUCCAGCGGCAACCACGGCAUUAUUGAGAAGAGGCGAGACUCCAGGAGACUGAGAGGAUGAAGCAUCGCCUUAAGGAGAUGCACAAGUGGUGGGAUCAUGUGAUGAGCGAAGCCUGUGAGGACGAUGGACCUGCUGAACAAGGCAACAACGAAACCACAGAAGUCUGAUGCGCAUGAAUAUGGAGAAAUAUGAUUGCGCAGCAGGAGAAGUGCGAAGAAGCCGAGGAGGAGGAAAAUCACGAAGCUGUGGCCAUGGGAGUCAUUGGCAAUUGCUUGUCUCUCGAUCUCAAUUGUCCUUGCGGGAAAGGGUACAAGAUUGUGCUCUUUGGUAAGAAGUGUUACUACAAGCUUGCUUGUAUGAGUUUUUGGCAAAUCUCAGACAAGGAUGUCUUCCUCUAUUGCUAGUCAAGUUUGGUCAUCAAUAAGGGAUCUUCCUGCAGUCCCUCGACCUACGGUACAUUGUUUCGAAGGUAUACUAUCUUGAAAUGAGAAUAGCGAUGUUCGUAUUUGUUAAAGGGUAGUUUAGUCUUCUUUUGUUGAAGGGUAAUUUAGUCUUCUUCAUUGUCAGUGAGCCCUAAUACUGACUAUAUAUAUUAAUGUAAUUCGUAAUUAUGAAAAUUACAAUUUCUUCUCUUUCA